rnacentral:rRNA from 1 species
GUCCACGCCGUAAACGAUGUCAACUAGCCGUUGGCUCUCUUUGAGAGUUAGUGGCGCAGCUAACGCAUUAAGUUGACCGCCUGGGGAGUACGGCCGCAAGGUUAAAACUCAAAUGAAUUGACGGGGGCCCCGCACAAGCGGUGGAGCAUGUGGUUUAAUUCGAUGCAACGCGAAGAACCUUACCUACCCUUGACAUCCUAAGAAUUCGCUAGAGAUAGCUUAGUGCCUUCGGGAGCUUAGAGACAGGUGCUGCAUGGCUGUCGU